AACGAACGUUGGCGGCGUGCCUAACACAUGCAAGUCGAGCGCGGGCAGGACUUCAGUCCUGUUCCGAGCGGCGCACGGGUGAGUAACAUGUGAGUAACCUGCCUCGAAGUUUGGGAUAACCGCCCGAAAGGGUGGCUAAUACCGGAUAAGCCCCCACUGGCACAGGCCAGAGAGGGAAAAGCCUUGGCGCUUCGAGAUGGGCCCGCGUAGGAUUAGCUAGUUGGUGGGGUAAAGGCCUACCAAGGCGACGAUCCUUAGCUGGUCUGAGAGGAUGAUCAGCCACACUGGGACUGAGACACGGCCCAGACUCCUACGGGAGGCAGCAGUGGGGAAUAUUGGACAAUGGGCGAAAGCCUGAUCCAGCAAUGCCGCGUGAGUGAUGAAGGCCUUAGGGUU
rnacentral:rRNA from 1 species